UACCCUAUUAUAUAGGUGUUGUACUUUACUUGGGUAGUAUUAGUUAUGUUUUUGAAACUUAAAGAAUUUGGCAGUAUUUUAUUCUUUCCAGAGGAACCUGUUCUUUAAUUGAUAAUCCACGAUUAUAUUUACUUAUAUUGGUAAUCAGUUUUUAUAUCUCCGUCAUAAGAAUAUUUUUAUAGGAAAAUUUUUCUUGAUUAUUAAAGAUAAAUAUGUCAGGUCAAGGUGAGAUUAAUGUAUAAGUAGAAAUGGGUUACAAUAAAUUUAUUUAUAUGAAUAGUUAAUAUUAUGAUUUACUUGAAGGAGGAUUUGGAAGUAAAUUUAUUUAUUAAGUGUUUCGAUUUUAGUUCUAAAUUAUGUACACACUCGCC
rnacentral:rRNA from 1 species